GAUGAACGCUGGCGGCGUGCUUAACACAUGCAAGUCGAACGAAGCACUUUAUUUGAUUUCCUUCGGGACUGAUUAUUUUGUAACUGAGUGGCGGACGGGUGAGUAACGCGUGGGUAACCUGCCUUGUACAGGGGGAUAACAGUUGGAAACGGCUGCUAAUACCGCAUAAGCGCACAGCAUCGCAUGAUGCAGUGUGAAAAACUCCGGUGGUAUAAGAUGGACCCGCGUUGGAUUAGCUAGUUGGUGAGGUAACGGCCCACCAAGGCGACGAUCCAUAGCCGACCUGAGAGGGUGACCGGCCACAUUGGGACUGAGACACGGCCCAAACUCCUACGGGAGGCAGCAGUGGGGAAUAUUGCACAAUGGGCGAAAGCCUGAUGCAGCGACGCCGCGUGAGCGAAGAAGUAUUUCGGUAUGUAAAGCUCUAUCAGCAGGGAAGAUAAUGACGGUACCUGACUAAGAAGCACCGGCUAAAUACGUG
rnacentral:rRNA from 1 species